rnacentral:rRNA from 1 species
UACGUAGGUGGCAAGCGUUAUCCGGAAUUACUGGGCGUAAAGCGAGUGUAGGUGGUUUUCCAAGUUGGAUGUGAAAGCCUUGAGCUCAACUCAAGAAAUGCAUUCAGGACUGGGAGACUAGAGGACCGGAGAGGAUAGUGGAAUUCCCAGUGUAGUGGUGAAAUACGUAGAGAUUGGGAAGAACACCAGUGGCGAAGGCGGCUAUCUGGACGGUUUCUGACACUAAGACUCGAAAGCGUGGGGAGCAAACAGG